GACGAACGCUGGCGGCGUGCUUAACACAUGCAAGUCGAACGCUGAAGGCCUGGCUUUUGUUGGGUUGGAUGAGUGGCGAACGGGUGAGUAACACGUGAGUAACCUGCCAUCUUCUUUGGGAUAACGCCCGGAAACGGGUGCUAAUACUGGAUAUUCACUGAUCUUCGCAUGGGGGGUGGUGGUAAGGUUUGUUCUGGUGGGGGGUGGGCUCGCGGCCUAUCAGCUUGUUGGUGGGGUGAUGGCCUACCAAGGCUUUGACGGGUAGCCGGCCUGAGAGGGUGACCGUUCACAUUGGAACUGGGAUACGGCCCAGACUGCGACGGGAGGCAGCAGUGGGGAAUAAUGCACAAUGGGCGAAAGCCUGAUGCAGCGACGCCGCGUGAGGGAUGGAGGCUUUCGGGUUGUAUUCCUCUUGCGCUCAUGGUCAAGCCGCAACUGUGGGUUGUGGUGAGGGUAGUGGGUAAAGAAGCGCCGGCUAACUACGUG
rnacentral:rRNA from 1 species